rnacentral:tRNA from 1 species
GGGUCGGUGGUCUAGCUUGGCUAUGAUUCCUGGUUUGGGUCUUGCGAACCCAUGUUCGCUUGCAAGACUCCAGGGGAUCGGGAGUUCGAAUCUCCCCCGGCCCA